CCUACGGGUGGCAGCAGUGGGGAAUAUUGGGCAAUGGGCGCAAGCCUGACCCAGCAACGCCGCGUGAAGGAAGAAGGCUUUCGGGUUGUAAACUUCUUUUCUCAGGGACGAAGCAAGUGACGGUACCUGAGGAAUAAGCCACGGCUAACUACGUGCCAGCAGCCGCGGUAAUACGUAGGUGGCAAGCGUUAUCCGGAUUUCCUGGGGGUAAAGGGCGUGUAGGCGGGAAAGCAAGUCAGAUGUGAAAACCAUGGGGUCAACCUGUGGCCUGCAUUUGAAACUGUUUUUCUUGAGUACUGGUGAGGCAGACGGAAUUCCUAGUGUAGCGGUGAAAUGCGUAGAUAUUAGGAGGAACACCGGUGGCGAAGGCGGCCUGCUGGACUGCAACUGACGUUGAGGCCCGGAAGCGUGGGGAGCAAACAGGAUUAGAUACCCCAGUAGUC
rnacentral:rRNA from 1 species